GUGGCAACAACACCGCCGGUCACCAAAUUAACACCCUUUAACCCCCUUGACCCCCUAAACACAAAUCCACAAACCAUCUGGCUCGAAUCAGACCACAUCGUCUCGAAUCUUCGUUUGAAGAUUCGAGCCAAACCUGAAACCACCCCAACCAAGACCAAUUCGUACCAAUUACUCCCCUAACAUCCCUCAUAACCAAACCAAGCUUGGUUUGGUUCAAAUCCAACCAGAAAACUUCGAGCCCCAAAUCGAAAAUAUGAACCCUAGAAAUCAAAUAGAUGGGGGUCUAUCCAAAUUAACAAAGGGUUGGGGUCUAAUAGACUUUAAUCGAGGGAUUCUCAAUUGAGAACACCUCGAUUAAAGUCCUUUUGACCUCAAAAGGUCAAGUCCGGUUCGAGACAGGGGUGUGUUGUUCUUGAGCAUCAAAUAUAAGUUCUUUCUUUUCCUUCUGUUUUCAUAUGUGUUUUAUUGUGUUUGCAUGUUAGUUAUUUCAUGUGAUUUUAGUUACUUUUCUUUAGUUCUGUUCAUCUUCCUGAGAUCUUUAUUUGGUCGUUUCUGUUCACAUUACUGGUUAUUUGUUUGUUAUUAUUAAGUUGUGAUUUGUUUUCAAUUUUUUUUGUUCAAAGUUUUCGUGUUUGCUCUGUAUUUUGUUUCCUUUUUUUUUGUCUGCCUUAUUUGAAUCAGUCAGUACUUCAUAUAUUAGAUAAUUCAAAUUGCUCUUGUUUAGUUUUUAUUUAGAAAUUUAAUUUGUUUCAAAUAGGGAGAGUAUGCAUCUGUGUCAAGUCAGCUAUGAUUUCAGUAGCUCACUGCAGUUUUAUUCCAACUAUUUUUCUCUUCUGAUGACAUUUGGUUGAUAGGAAAUUAAUUUCAUAGCUUUAGUAAUCAAAGUGGUAGGUUGGUUAUAGUUGUUGUUAUUCUAAAUUUAGAUACAGUUCUUUAUGUUUCUAUGUUUAAUUAAGCAUUUUUUGGGUUAAUCAGUGAUUAGUUUACUUAUUAGAUAAAUUGGCCAUUAAUUGGUUUCUGAUAUUGCUGGUAUUCAUUUAUCUAAAAUCAGAAACAAUGGGAUUCUAGGGUAAGUCAGUAGGUUCAGUAGAUUUAGGAGGGUAUUUUGGGGUUUUAAGAUACUUGAAAUGUUUAGUGGUAGUUGGUCUGCCAGAGUUGUAUUUAACUAAACAUUAAAUUAAUGAAUUGUUUAAUAAUAGUAGUGGGAUAUGAAUUGGAAUAGCAUGGGGAAUAUUUGAAUACUAUAAUGUGCCCAUAACUAAUGCAUUAAACAAAUGAAACUAAGCACUUUAGUAAUAAAAGAAGGGGCUGUCGGGUAAUAACAUGAAUUUUUUAGAAUUAAAAAAACUGAAAAGGGAAUUCAACUGACCAUGCCUAGCGCCCGUAUGGCUGGAAAAUCAGAAGCAUUAAGGGGUUAAUGAUAAAAAGGUAGAGAUACACAUGAGAAGGGAAUAAACUGGCUAAAAGAUAAGGGCAGGGCAGUAAUAACAAUAACAUUUUAAGGGUAUUUUGGGAAUGAAAAGUGGGCAGAAUGACUAAGUUAAUGGCCUGUUAGUGAAGCCUUAAUAUGUGCGUUGAAUUAAGAAGGAAAUUAAGGGAAAGCGCCUUUGAGUAAGUUUUUCAAAAUGGGUAGGUAGAGUUUUGUUAUUUUGAGGGGUCGGGUGGUUAAGUUUUUAAGAGGGUAGGUUUAGGAGUUACUACAAAUACAUAUAAUUAAGGAGUAAUUAAGGAGUGAAAAAUUUUGAAGGAAAAAUUGAGAGCUUAAGACUGAAUCUUUGAAUCAGAAGUUGAAAGCUGAGAGUAUAGGCUAAUUCUUGAGUGAAAGCUUCAGUGAGAUAAUCAAGUUUAAGGCUGAUCUUUAUUUAAAACUUGAGCUUGCUUGCUUUUCUUGAAGAGUAUUCAAAAACAUAAAUAUUACCUUCCUUACAUCUGUUUCACUUCUACUGUGACUGUGAGGGCAUUCUCAAGUGUUACUGGAUUUCCAAUGUGAUGUUUUUGGUUUUCGAUCAUUAAUUGGUUUCUGAUAUUGCUGGUAUUCAUUUCGGUGUUGUUGAGCUUUUCUAUUGGUAUUCAAGUGUUAUUUCAUCUAUUAUUGGAUUCCUUCUGUUUGAUUCUUCGUCUGCUACUGGGUUUCUGCUAUUGCCACUGGUUCAUUAUUGUUUGAUGCUGAAACCUCUGUUGCUUGAACCUAUUAUUGUACUGUGUUUGUUACUAUUGUUCAUUACUAAUCCUUCCUCCUUUCCUUUGCUUUUCCAAUUACCAGUAUACAAUUACUAUGCUGGUCCACAAUGCAAGCUGAAACAUUUGAAGCAUGAAUAAAAUGCAUCUUUAAGGCUUGCAGACAUUAGUUGUAUCUGUAUUCUAAGUCUAUAUGUAUGUGUUAGUUAUUAGCUCAUGAGAAUCAUGUGAUUAGCUGCAAUGUAUCAAUAGGUGCCGAUCUGUAAUAAUUUAAGUUUGCAAACUCAUGCAUGUUAAUUAGAAAAGAACCGAUAAUGUAGUAUGCAUAUUCUGUAAUUUCUAGUUUUGUUUCAUUCACAUCCUAUUUAAAAAAACAUAUAAAGAUUAAACAGAUUAAGUAGUCAGUUACUCAUACUUU
rnacentral:lncRNA from 1 species